rnacentral:tRNA from 1 species
GCCCGCCUAGCUCAAUCGGAUAGAGCGUCAGACUCUUAAUCUGAAGGUUGCGAGUUCGACCCUCGCGGUGGGCU